rnacentral:rRNA from 1 species
CCUACGGGAGGCAGCAGUGGGGAAUAUUGCACAAUGGGGGGAACCCUGAUGCAGCAACGCCGCGUGGGUGAAGAAGUACUCUGGUAUGUAAAGCCCUGUUAGCAUGGAAGAAAAUGACGGUACCUGAACAAGAAGCCCCGGCUAACUACGUGCCAGCAGCCGCGGUAACACGUAGGGGGCAAGCGUUAUCCGGAUUUACUGGGUGUAAAGGUAGCGUAGACGGCAAGGCAAGUCUGGAGUGAAUGCCCGUGGCCCAAACACGGGACUGCAUUGGAAACUGUGUUGCUAGAGUGAAGGAGGGGUAGGCGGAAUUCCUGGUGUAGCAGUGAAAUGCGUAGAUAUCAGGAGGAACACCGGUGGCGAAGGCGGCCUGCUGGACUGCAACUGACGUUGAGGCCCGAAGGCGAGGGGAGCAAACGGGAUUAGAUACCCUAGUAGUC